UCCUUCGUUGAGCCUCUGUCUCGAGCGGCUAAAAUAAAAUGAAGUGUAGAAAUGGAUCAAGUGCUUUUCGACGUCCUGCUAGAACAGGUUGCUUUGAGACGUAAGGCAGAUAAUGGUUUUAAGAGGGAAGCCUACCAAGUAACAGCAGAAGAGGUCAUGAAGCAUACGGACAUACCUGUCAACUGACAGAAUGUGCAGAACCGUCUGAGGUAUUACAAGCGCGAAUAUAUUGCCGUCAGGCACAUGCUAGCAGCUAGUGGGUUUGGAUGGGAUAAUGAGCACAUGGUCAUUACGGCCCCUGAUGAGGUUUGGGAGGAUUACCUGAAGUCUCACCCGCGUGCUACACAUCUAUGCAGGAAAAGGAUUGAGAGAAUGGAUGACCUUGCAGUCAUCGUCGGCUCCGAUCAAGCAACUGGAUGAUAUGCACAAGGAAGUACGACUAUGGCCAAAUCAUCCUCUAGGAUUCAGCGAGAUCUCAAUGAGUCCUGGAGAGACGCUGAAGAUGAUCUGGAGGAUACUAUUGGCCUCUCUUAGGACCAUGUAACAGACUCGUCAGGCAAAAUUUUUUCCUCAGAUACUCCAUCGAUGGGAAGACGCGGAACCCAUGGCACUCCUAGUCUGACUCCAGAGUCUGACUGUAACUGAGAUAGGGGUGCAUCAAAGAAACGUAUGCGGCCUCCUCGUCCCUGCAAUGUACUCGGCAUCUCCCUUAAUACCGUUGCAGAGGCUAUGCGCGAUUUUGGCCUCGGCAAGGAGGUAAAUCGUACUCGAAAGGUACUUGAUAUUCUUGAGGAGGUGCAAGGGUUGACCAACUCGGAAUUUAUUGAAGUUGGGCAACUGUUGAGCAGGGAUGAGAAGCUGGUAUCAUUUUUUGUCAGUCUUUGACUUAAGAGGCGCGUUGAGUGGCUGAGGAGAACACUCCGCGAGAAUGAUGUCAAAGCAGUAGUUGGGUCGGUCUGACAUGCUCUUACCUGUCGUUGUGUUGAUCUGUUAUUUUAAGGGACUAUAAUUACUUUUUAUACGCUGGGACUGUUUGUUUGAUGUUUUUUUUUUGGAUGUUUGGAUGACACAAUUGGUAUAUUCUGUAUACCAAUUUGAUAGGUGUGGUAAUAGACUGAUUUUCUGGUUUAAUAUAUUUUAUAUAUGUUCCACCACAUGCUUGUUGCUCAGCACAUUAAGAUAGAUGGAGCCACACACAUCGUAUGGACGAAGGAUGGCAAAGGAGAAAUACUAUGUUGUUCUCGUGGGCCGUCGACCGGGCGUUUAUCUGAUGUGGGACGAUGCUAGGCUGGAGGUUGAAGGAUUCAACGGAGGGAGACACUGGGCAUUCAAGAAUUGGAGGGAAGCGGUUUCCUGCUGGGAGAGUUACUUCGGUCGAACAGGUGCACAAUUGCAGCCUACGACUGAAACUCAUGCUGUUCAUGUCGCCACAUAGUUAGACGAGGUUGACAUCCAUCGUUCGUCGACUUCGUCUAUCCAUCAGUCGACCCAUGGCAGGGUUUCCAGGUCCACGACGACUGAUGAUCUUGCCCCAUCCCGUGGAGAGAGUUUCUAUGGACUUUUGAUUGGCAUUCUCGUUAUUUUCUUCGCCCUGCUUAUCAUUAUUAAAUUCUAGCUGUAGAGGUUCUAUGACAUAAUGAAUAUUAUUUUUUGGUUCUCUUUUUUUUUUGGGAGUUUGAUUGUAUGUUUCCCUAGCUUUCUUUAGCUUUAUCUCAGAUUGUAUGGUUUUUUUUAGCUAUCUUUCAUUGCAGAUCUACCUUAGAUUGUAUGGGUUUUUAUAUAUGCAGAUUGUAUUGUUUUUUUUUUGGAGGGAGUAACCCUCAUACAUCAUGGUGGGCCC